rnacentral:rRNA from 1 species
CUAACGGCUGAACCAGCAACUUGGAGGAAUGUAUAGCUACGGCUAAUUGUGUAUAACUACACGAUAUCGACUCUGUCGAAUAAAAUUCUGGGUAAAUUAUGAUGAUGACAUUUUUUACCUAUGUGUCUUGACCAAAUUGUGUGCCAGCAGUCGCGGUAAUACAUAGAAGACUAGUGUUAUUCAUCUUUAAUAGGUUUAAAGGGUACCUAGACGGUAGAUCAAGCCCUAGACGGGACUAAUUUGCUAGAGUUACUUAUGAGGGGGCUUUAAAGUACUAAUGGUGUAGAGAUAAAAUUUUGUAAUACCAUUUUUCGUAAAGAAAAAUUAUGGCACUGGUAAAGGCGAAAGCAUCCCCCUAUGUGA